rnacentral:rRNA from 1 species
UACGUAGGGGGCGAGCGUUGUCCGGAAUCAUUGGGCGUAAAGCGCGUGUAGGCGGUUCGGUAAGUCUGCUGUGAAAGUCCAGGGCUCAACCCUGGGAUGCCGGUGGAUACUGCUGAACUAGAGUGCGGAAGAGGCGAGUGGAAUUCCCGGUGUAGCGGUGAAAUGCGCAGAUAUCGGGAGGAACACCAAUUGCGAAGGCAGCUCGCUGGGACGUUACUGACGCUGAGACGCGAAAGCGUGGUGAGCAAACAGG